GAACUUAAGCAUAUCAAUAAGCGGAGGAAAAGAAACUAACAAGGAUUCCCCUAGUAACUGCGAGUGAAGCGGGAAAAGCUCAAAUUUGAAAUCUGGCGGUUUCUGCCGUCCGAGUUGUAUUCUGGAGAAGCGUUUUCCGUGCUGGACCGUGUACAAGUGCCUUGGAACAGGCCGUCAUAGAGGGUGAGAAUCCCGUCUUUGACACGGACUGCCAGUGCUCUGUGAUGCGCUCUCGAAGAGUCGAGUUGUUUGGGAAUGCAGCUCAAAAUGGGUGGUAAAUUCCAUCUAAAGCUAAAUAUUGGCGAGAGACCGAUAGCGAACAAGUACCGUGAGGGAAAGAUGAAAAGCACUUUGGAAAGAGAGUAAAACAGUACGUGAAAUUGUUGAAAGGGAAACGCUUGAAGUCAGUCGCGUCUUCUGGAACUCAGCCUUGCUUCUGCUUGGUGCACUUUCCAGUCUGACGGGCCAGCAUCGGUUUUGGCGGGGCAGACAAAGGCGGGGGGAAGGUGGCCGCUCCGGCGGUGUUAUAGCCCCCCGUUGCAUGUGUCCCCUGGGACCGAGGAAUCCGGCGCAAGCCUGGGAUGCUGGCGUAAUGGCUUUAAACGACCCGUCUUGAAACACGGACCAAGGAGUGCUACAUGCUCGCGAGUGUUUGGGUGGAAAACCCGGACGCGUAAUGAAAGUGAAACCCGAUACCCUUUACUGGGGCACCGGGGCCCGAGCCUGAUGUUUUCGGAAGGCCUUGCGGUAGAGCGAGUACGUUGCGACCCGAAA
rnacentral:rRNA from 1 species